GACGGAGGAUCCAAGCGUUAUCCGGAAUCAUUGGGCUUAAAGGGUCCGUAGGCGGUUUUGUAAGUCAGUGGUGAAAGCCCAUCGCUCAACGGUGGAACGGCCAUUGAUACUGCAAGACUUGAAUUAUUAGGAAGUAACUAGAAUAUGUAGUGUAGCGGUGAAAUGCUUAGAGAUUACAUGGAAUACCAAUUGCGAAGGCAGGUUACUGCUAAUUGAUUGACGCUGAUGGACGAAAGCGUGGGGAGCGAACAGG
rnacentral:rRNA from 1 species